GCGGCCGCCGGCUGGGGAACCAGUCCGGAGGAAAGUCCGAGCACGGCAGGACACGGUGGUGGGUAACGCCCACCCGCCCGCACUCGCUGCGGGUGAGGGAAAGUGCCACAGAGAACAGACCGCCGAUGGCCCGCGGCCGUAAGGCUGCGGGCUCAGGCAAGGGUGAAACGGUGCGGUAAGAGCGCACCGCGAGCUUGGUAACAAGCCGGCACGGCAAACCUCACACGGAGCAAGACCAAAUAGGGCAGGGGUGCGUCGCAAGACGCAUAACGCGCGGCCCGCGUGCCUGCCGGGUAGGUUGCUAAAGCCUUGUGGUGACGCAAGGCGUAGAGGAAUGGUUGU
rnacentral:RNase_P_RNA from 1 species